UUUACAUACAGUUAUAAGUUUUAGUAUCCAAUUUUCAUCAUCCAUCUUAUUUAAAUUAUUUUUAUUAUUAGUAUUUUUAUUGUUAUUCGAUGAUAAAAUAUAAAUAGUACUUUAUAAGUGACGUAAGUUUUUUUUAUUUUUUUCAAAAUAAAAUGGACGAUUAAAGUUAGAUACGGAAACUCAUAGUGCGCUUGCA
rfam:Oryza punctata chromosome 6, whole genome shotgun sequence.